UUUCAUAAUGUUGAGUUAGGUGCCCGCAAGGGCUUAAUAGGGAAGUCCGGUGCAAUACCGGCGCGGUCCCGCCACUGUAAUGGGGAGCAGGCUUAAGAUAUGCCACUGGGAUGAAGUAUCCUGGGAAGGUUUAAGCAAGCUAUGAUCCGGAGCCAGGAGAACUGCCUAGCUGACAAUCACCGU
rnacentral:ncRNA from 2 species